rnacentral:rRNA from 1 species
AUGAACGCUAGCGGGAGGCCUAACACAUGCAAGCCGAGCGGUAGAAAGUAGCUUGCUACUUUUGAGAGCGGCGUACGGGUGCGUAACACGUGUGCAACCUGCCUUUAUCUGGAGAAUAGCCUUUCGAAAGGAAGAUUAAUGCUCCAUAACAUAUUGAAUGGCAUCAUUUAAUAUUGAAAGCUCCGGCGGAUAGAGAUGGGCACGCGCAAGAUUAGUUAGUUGGUGAGGUAACGGCUCACCAAGGCGAUGAUCUUUAGGGGGCCUGAGAGGGUGAUCCCCCACACUGGUACUGAGACACGGACCAGACUCCUACGGGAGGCAGCAGUGAGGAAUAUUGGACAAUGGGUGAAAGCCUGAUCCAGCCAUCCCGCGUGAAGGAUGACGGCCCUAUGGGUUGUAAACUUCUUUUGUAUAGGGAUAAACCUACCCUCGUGAGGGUAGCUGAAGGUACUAUACGAAUAAGCACCGGCUAACUCCGUGCCAGCCGCCGCCGUAA